rnacentral:lncRNA from 1 species
CGCAGCUUAAACAACAAAACUGACUGCUCUUGCCCCCGCAGUCUGAACUCCUUGGAGACUUUGCCAUGGGGUGCGGGCUUAGGAAGCUGGAAGACCCUGAUGAAAGCAGCCCUGGAAAGAUAUUUUCUACCCUGAAGAGACCGCAAGUGGAAACAAAGACAGAAUUUGCUUAUGAAUAUGCACUGCUGGAUUUUACUUUACAAGGUACUCCUUACUGCUGUUGUAGCUAUUAUCCGUUUCCAAACUAAGAGGAUACUAAUUUUCUGAGGUGUGGACCUGUGGAUUCUUAAGCUCUUUCCCAUAAUGAAAUUGGUCCAUCUAACAAUGACGCUUUGUUUCUUAACUAUAUUUGGGAAGAUUUUGUUUUGUUUUGUUUUGUUUUAUGUGCUUUUUAAAAACACGGCUUUAUGUACUUAACAAAAUUUUUAAAAAACUACUUGGAAAUGUUCCUUUCAUUUUUAAGGCACAUGGGACAAAUAUUUGAUUUCUAGGCCAAAUUGCUGGAGCCUUAAUGACAGCUUGUGUUUUGAAAAGAUUUGAAAGGCAGGGACUGCGGGGCUGUGGGCUGUGCUGCCUGCAUGAGUCGUCCGAGCUCCACCAAGGCAGAUCUGAGGUGGCCAGUGUGCUGAAUUUAGUGUCGCUCAUGUGAUAAGUUGAGCAAACUAAAGGUGGAGAAAAUU